rnacentral:rRNA from 1 species
CCUACGGGAGGCAGCAGUGAGGAAUAUUGGUCAAUGGCCGGAAGGCUGAACCAGCCAAGCCGCGUGAAGGACGAAGGUGCCAAGCAUUGUAAACUUCUUUUGUCAAGGGACAAAAUCAGGCUCGAGAGCCUGUCCGAAGGUACUUUAAGAAUAAGCAUCGGCUAACUCCGUGCCAGCAGCCGCGGUAAUACGGAGGAUGCGAGCGUUACCGGAUUUAUUGGUUUUAAAGGGUGCGUAGGCGGGCUGUUAAGUCAGCGGUAAAAGCCCGGGGCUAAAACCCGGCGAGCCGCUGACAUUGGCUGGCUAGAGAUGUCGAGAGGUAGGCGGAAUGCGCAGUGUAGCGGUGAAAUGCUUAGAUAUUGCGCAGAACACCGAUUGCGAAGGCAGCAUACCGGCGGCGAUCUGACGCUGAGGCACGAAAGCGUGGGUAUCGAACAGGAUUAGAUACCCGAGUAGUC